CUGUCAAGGGCGUUGAUCCCUAGGGUAGCUGGCCCCUGGCUACGGAGUUCGUAGCCACGGUCCGUCUUCUCCGGCGAGGUUUGCCCCUCCGCCGCAGGCUUGAGAGUUACGAGAGAAGGGAAGAAUUGGGACAAUAACCAAAUUGCUUAAUUUCUGGAAUGUGCCGAUUACAGAGAUAUAUGGCCUAAGGCCCAACUAACCAAAGAGCUAAUUGCUCCUAAAUGCAAGGGCUAAUAACAGGAAACUAAUUAUCCUUUCCAUCCUAGCCACUGACCGUGGCCUGAUCUGCCGCAGCCGCGCGUUCUGCCUCUGCGCGCGCCGCGCGUUCCGCAGCUCGGCGAACGUCUCGCGCUCUGCGGCGUCGCACAUACGUGCGCCCCCACAUGACAUCUCCCCCUCCGUCGAGAGGCAGCUCGUCCUCGAGCUGUAGAGCAGGGUAGCGGGCGAAGAAUGGCUCCCUGUCCUCCCAGGUAGCAGACGCCGCUGAAGUGCCCUUCCACUGGACCAGAACUUGGCGCACCCCACGGGCCAAGCGGGCUUUGAUGACUCGCUCGGGCUCACAGGCCACCGCGCCGUGGUGCACGUUCGGCAGCGGCGGGGGAGCGUCUGGAGGCGCGCCGUGCCACUUCUUGAGCAGCCCGAUGUGGAACACGUCGUGAAGGCGGGCGCCGGCCGGCAAUGCCAAGCGAGCAGCCACCUCGUUGAUCAUCUCCGCGAUGCGGUAGGGCCCGAAAUACCGCAGCUUCAGCUUGCCGGAGACUGCCAGCGACAGGGACGCUGGGGCGCGCUGGCGGAGACGCAGAAGGACCCAGUCCCCAACCUGAAACGACACUGCACGAUGGGACUUGUCGUAGUACUUCUUCUGGAUGGCCUGAGCUUGUUCCAGGCGGUAGCGAAUGUCCUCCAGGAACUCUGAGCGCUCCUCCAUGCUUUUGGCCACAGCUGCCACGCGGGUGUCCCCCGGUUCAUACGACCGGAUGGAGGGAGGGUCGCGGCCAUAGACCACCCGGAACGGGGUAUGCCGCAGCGAGGUCUGGUAGGCGGUGUUGAAGACAAAUUCCGCCCACGGGAGCCAGCGCAGCCACUGCCGGGGGCGAUCACCAGUAAGGCACCGCAGGUACAUGAUGAUGACACGGUUGGAUGCCUCCGACUGGCCGUCGGACUGAGGGUGGAAGGCCGUCGUCAUGUGGAGCUUCGUACCCACCAGACGCAUCAGCUCGCUCCAGAACGCGGACGUGAAGACCGGGUCGCGAUCCGACACCAUGGAUUGUGGAACGCCAUGGAGACGGACGAUCUCGGCGAAGAAGACUUGAGCGACGGAUUCCGCCGAGUAUGGGUGCGCCAAAGGGAUGAAGUGGCAGUACUUGCUGAAUCUGUCCACCACAGUCAGUAUGACGGACUUGCCGCGAACACGGGGCAGCGCUUCGACAAAGUCCAGUGCGACGUCAGUCCACACUCCUUGUGGCACCGGCAGUGGAAGGAGAAGACCGGCAGGCUGGAGGUGCUCGGCCUUGUAGCGCUGACAGACCUCGCAGGUCCGCACAAAAUCCUGCACAACGCUCUUCAUGUUAGGAAAGUGGAAAUCCCGGCGGAGUCGGUGGAGAGUGCGCUGGACGCCUUCAUGUCCCUCCUCAUGGACAGCGCGCAGGACCUCCUGGAGCAGGGGCGACGCUGGGGGCAGGUACAGGCGGCCAGCGAACAGGACCAUGCCGUCGGCCAUGGACCACGGCCCUGCGCGUGUGCCGGAGCGGAUCUCCGCCUGUAGCGCCACCAGCGCCGGGUCGACGUCCUGUGCUUGGCGAAGCCGCUCGAUGAAGUCGAACCGUGGCGCAGACAGCACCAAGACAGAAGCGUCCUCGGUGGUGUCGCGACGAGACAGCGCGUCCGCCACAGUAUUUGCUGCGCCCGGCUUGUACUCCACCGUGAAGUCGAAGCCCAGCAGUUUGCCCACCCAAUGGUGCUGGGGAAUGGUGGACAGCCGCUGAUCCAGAAGAUAUUUCAGGCUGUAGUGGUCGGUCUUGACGGUGAAGUGCCGGCCCCAAAGAUACGGCCUCCAAUGCCGGACGGCCAGCACCAAGCCGAUGAGCUCGCGCUCGUACGCAGCGAGGGCGCGGUGACGUGGCGCCACAGGACGGCUGAAGAAGGCGAGCGGAUGGCCGUCUUGAAUGAGGACCGCGCCAAAGCCGUGGGAGGAGGCGUCGCACUCCACGGUGAAGGCCUUGGUGAAGUCCGGCAUGGCGAGGAUCGGCGCCGAGGAGACCGCGGCUUUGAGGGCGUCGAACGCCGCCGUGGCUGCCUCGGUCCAGGCGAAUCCUUCCUUCUUGAGCAGGGCGGUGAGGGGCGCAGCGAUGGUGCCGUAGUUGUGGACGAAUUUGCGGUAGUACCCCGCCAAGCCGAGGAAGCCGCGCACCGCACGCGCCGAGCGUGGCUGAGGCCACUCCCGAAUGGCCUGGACCUUCGCCGGGUCCAUGGCAACACCAGCAGCCGAGAUAACGUGGCCAAGGUAUGCCACGGAGUCGACGCCAAAGGCACACUUGCUGCGCUUGAUGAAGAGUUUGUGCUCCCUGAGCACCGUCAGCACAGCCCGGAGGUGACGGAGAUGAUCAGCCCAUGUGUCACUGUAGAUCAAAAUAUCAUCAAAAAACACAAGGACAAAGCGGCGCAAGAAGGAGCGGAGCACAUCGUUCAUGAGGGCUUGGAAUGUCGCCGGGGCGUUGCAAAGCCCGAACGGCAUGACCAAGAACUCAUACAGCCCGUCGUGGGUGCGGAACGCCGUCUUGUGGAUAUCUUCGGGCCGCAUGCGCACUUGGUGAUAGCCGGACCGCAGGUCGAGCUUGGAGAAGAAGCGCGCGCCAUGGAGCUCGUCCAGAAGCUCGUCGACGACGGGGAUCGGAAAAGCGUCCUUGACGGUAAGCGCAUUUAGCGCUCUGUAGUCGACGCAGAAGCGCCACGAACCGUCCGCCUUCUUGACGAGGAGGACCGGCGACGAGAACGCCGAGUCGCUGCGGCGGACGAUGCCUUGGGAGAUCAUGGCGGCGCAUUGCCGCUCGAGCUCAUCUUUAUGAGCCGCCGGGUAACGGUAGGGCCGGACAGCCACCGGCGACGUGCCCUGCUUGAGGACGAUGGCGUGGUCACGGCCGCGCUGUGGAGGCAGGCCUGUGGGCUCGGUGAAGACGUCGGCGAAGGAGUCGAGGAGCCCCCCCAAUAGGGAGUCGUCUGCGCUGGCCGCGCGGACUGCCGGCCCGUCCUGGUUUGGCGCGCCCUGCCAGCAGAUGGUACGGCCCUCCAGGUCGAACGUCAGGGCGCGUGUGGUGACAUCCCAGGACAUCCGGCCCAGCUUGGCCAUCCACUGGGUGCCGAGGACGAUGUCAUAUCCGGCGAGAGGCAUGACGUACAAGUCGACGUGGAACGGCAUGCCCUCGAUGGUGAUGGGCGCGUGGCGGAGGACGCCUGGGCAGGCCACCUUUUCGCCGUUGGCGACCGUGGCCGUCAUCCGUGGCCGCGGCUGGACGGACAGCCCGGUGCGAGCGGCCGCCGACUCGCCGAUGAAGUUGUGGGUCGACCCUGUAUCAACCAAGGCGACGAGCGUGGUCGCGCCCAGCUGAACCCGGAGCAGGAUCGGGUGUCCCACGGCGACGCCGGCCACGGCAUGGAGAGAAAACACCGGUGCCUCCGCGUCGACCUCGUCCUCCGGCGCUUCCUCGUCCUCGUCCUCCACGCUGUCCACAAAGAACAGACGUUUGCAAACCUUGUUGUGGCCGCGACUGUACUUUUCGUCGCAGUUGAAGCACAAGCCGAGGCGGCGACGUUCCUCCUGUUCGGCCUGGUUCAGGCGCCUGACCGGCCGGUUAUCAGCAGCGGUGGCGGCGGGCGGCGCGGGCUUGGCAGCCCCAGCUGGAGCCGGCAAGGCGAGUUGCGGCCGAGGCGCAGGUGCCGGCAGGACACCCCGACCAGGAGCUUUGGCGGGAACGGCGGUGUACUGCUCGAUCAGCUCGAACUGGCGGGCGAGGCUCAUGGCAGCCGCCAGCGACUGGGGAUUCUGCAUCUGGACUUGGAGGCUGAGCGGAGGAAGAAGGCCUCCGGUGAACAGCUGCACUCGCUGUUCUUCGUCGAGGCGACCGGCGCGGGGGAGCAGGGCCUGGAACCGGUCCUGGUAGUCCUCCACUGUGCCCGUGCGGCGACAGGAGGACAGCUCGAACAGGGGAGCGGACCGCAGAGGUGGCCCGUAGCGGAGAUUGAGGAGCUCCUUGAAGCGAGUCCACGUCGGCGUGCCGCGCUCGUCUUCUUGGACCUGCAUGUACCAAAGUUGGGCGCCCUCGAGGAGGUUGUGGGAGGCCAUCCAAACCUUCUCCUCUUGCAUGAUUCGCUGUUGCAGGAAGAAGGAUUCGCAGCGGUUGAUGAAGAUUAGCGGGUCGCUCUUGCCGUCGUAGUGCGGGAAGUCGGGUCGCCAGUGCUUGGGCGGCCGGUCUGGCGGCUGAUCGCCAAAGCCGGGGCGGGCGCCGGACGUAGAUGAACUGGUGGUGGUGGCGAGCGCAGCGAUCGCCUUGGCGUUGGCCGCGAUGGAGGCGGCGUUGGCCUUGAUCGACUCGUGCAUCAGCGCCAUGUCCUUGGAGAGGGCCUCGAUGGAGGCCUUGAGGUCGUCACCCAUGUGGUGGGCCGAGCAGGACGCGACUGAGGGUGAGGACGCAGGGGAGGCGGCGGCAGCAGGUGGGAAAUUGGGCGGAGCGACAGCAGGGGCGGCGGCUGGAGUGGUGGUGGAGUCGUAGAUGGGAUCGGUGGUGGCUGGGGCAGAGGUGGAGUCGGCAACGGAAGACGAAGAUCGACGUGACCGCGAUACCAGGUUGUCAAGGGCGUUGAUCCCUAGGGUAGCUGGCCCCUGGCUACGGAGUUCGUAGCCACGGUCCGUCUUCUCCGGCGAGGUUUGCCCCUCCGCCGCAGGCUUGAGAGUUACGAGAGAAGGGAAGAAUUGGGACAAUAACCAAAUUGCUUAAUUUCUGGAAUGUGCCGAUUACAGAGAUAUAUGGCCUAAGGCCCAACUAACCAAAGAGCUAAUUGCUCCUAAAUGCAAGGGCUAAUAACAGGAAACUAAUUAUCCUUUCCAUCCUAGCCACUGACCGUGGCCUGAUCUGCCGCAGCCGCGCGUUC
rnacentral:lncRNA from 1 species